UGUUUCAGGCUCAGAUUUAAAGAUGCUUUCGAGUGCAUGAGGAAGUUGAGGAUCAACCUCAACCUCAUUUAUGACCACAAUCCAACUGUGUUUCUUGACAACAUUGAGAUGUUCCUAAAACAGAUCGACUCCAUCAACUACAUCAACCUGUUCCUCACUGAGCUUAAAGAGGAAGACACCACUACAACAAUGUACCCAUGUCCUUCACGCUCGGCCUCCAGUUCUGCCUCAGGUAAAGGAG